AGUGAACGCUGGCGGUAGGCCUAACACAUGCAAGUCGAACGGCAGCACAGUAAGAGCUUGCUCUUACGGGUGGCGAGUGGCGGACGGGUGAGGAAUACAUCGGAAUCUACUUUUUCGUGGGGGAUAACGUAGGGAAACUUACGCUAAUACCGCAUACGACCUACGGGUGAAAGCAGGGGAUCUUCGGACCUUGCGCGAUUGAAUGAGCCGAUGUCGGAUUAGCUAGUUGGCGGGGUAAAGGCCCACCAAGGCGACGAUCCGUAGCUGGUCUGAGAGGAUGAUGAGCGACACUGGAACUGAGACACGGUCCAGACUCCUAAGGGAGGCAGAAGUGGGGAAUAUUGGACAAUGGGCGCAAGCCUGAUCCAGCCAUACCGCGUAGGUGAAGAAGGCCUUCGGGUUGUGAAGCACUUUUGUUGGGAAAGAAAAGCAGCAGGUUAAUACCCAGCUGUUCUGACGGUACCCAAAGAAUAAGCACCGGCUAACUUCGUG
rnacentral:rRNA from 1 species